CCAUCCGAUCCUGAACGGUUCCCUGGUGGCAUGGUCGAUACUAAUGAGCGAACUAUGACACCUGGGCGAACUGUCCAGGCGGGGUUU
rfam:Pristionchus pacificus strain PS312 contig7184, whole genome shotgun sequence.